CCUACGGGAGGCAGCAGUCGGGAAUAUUGCGCAAUGGAGGAAACUCUGACGCAGUGACGCCGCGUAAAGGAAGAAGGUUUUAGGAUUGUAAACUAUUGUCGUUAGGGGAGAUAAAAGACUGUACCUAAGGAGGAAGCCCCGGCUAACUAUGUGCCAGCAGCCGCGGUAAUAACUAGGGGGCACGCGUUAUCCGGAAUUAUUGGGUGUAAAGGGUGCGUAGACGGAAGAACAAGUUGGUUGUGAAAUCCCUCGGCUCAACUGAGGAAUUGCAACUAAAACUAUCCGCCUUGAGUGUCGGAGAGGAGAGUGGAAGUCGUGGUGUAGCGGUGAAAUGCGUAGAUAUUAGGAAGAACACCAGUGGCGAAGGCGACUUUCUGGACAAUAACUGACGUUGAGGCACGAAAGUGUGGGGAGCAAACAGGAUUAGAUACCCGAGUAGUC
rnacentral:rRNA from 1 species